rnacentral:tRNA from 1 species
ACUUAAGUAGUUUAAUUAAAAUGUAGUGUUGUGGUCACUGAGAUAUUUUAUAAUCUUGAGUU